UCAUUACACAUAAAUACGAAGGCCGUUCGCGGCUGGACUAUUUAUUACCCUUGUCUUUUGCGCACUUGUUGUUUCCUGGGCGGGUUCGCUCGCCACCAGGACCACAAUAUAAACCUUUUUUAUGCAGUUGCAAUCAGCGUCAGUACAACAAAUGUAAAUCAUUUACAACUUUCAACAACGGAUCUCUUGGUUCUGGCAUCGAUGAAGAACGCAGCGAAAUGCGAUACGUAGUGUGAAUUGCAGAAUUCAGUGAAUCAUCGAAUCUUUGAACGCACAUUGCGCCCUUUGGUAUUCCAAAGGGCAUGCCUGUUCGAGCGUCAUUUGUACCCUCAAGCUUUGCUUGGUGUUGGGCGUUUUUGUCCCCCCCAAAAAGGGGACUCGCCUUAAAAGGAUUGGCAGCCGGCCUACUGGUUUCGCAGCGCAGCACAUUUUUGCGCUUGCAAUCAGCAAAAGAGGACGGCAAUCCAUCAAGACUCCUUCUCACGUUUGACCUCGGAUCAGGUAGGGAUACCCGCUGAACUUAAGCAUAUCAAUAAGCGGAGGA
rnacentral:rRNA from 1 species